UUCGUUAAUGGCGAACACGGUUUCAGGACCGUCAAUCGUAACCGGAUUGUUAAUAAUGGUUUUGACGUAAAUGUCUCGGCAGAAAUUAGCCCAAUUCACCACAGUAAACCAACUUGCAAUAUUAAGUUCAUGCUUAAUUGUUUUUAGUGGUUCGUUAAUGGACCACCAAUACAGAAACUGCAGUUAUUAUACAUAAGGAUAUGUGGCUAUUCGAGAAGAAAGACGAUUCAUUUCUAAUGGAGUGACACCUCCGACAUCGCCGAGCAGAGUUCAAUUCCAAGCAUAUAGAUCUCGGUGCUGCGAUGAUUUAACAAAGGAACAAUUGCGGCCACACUGACAGACAUGAGCUUGAGCUAAAAGUCCAUAUCUUUUUAACCGUUCAAUUAGUCCGUCAUGGUCAGUGAAAAUUGGAAAGUCGUCUGAUAAGUGAAAUGGAGGACAUUGCAUGAUAUCCAUGUCAGAAUUUUAAAAAAAUGAGAAACUAGACAAAAGAAGACGAUGGUUUCAAUAAAAAUUGGAAGAGAAUAAAAGCUGGACAACUGAAGAUGAUUGUUUCGAUUCCAAAUUGCUGCAGAAUAAUAAUUAAAACCGGAUAAAAUUAUAAAUAAUUGAUCUGUCACUCCUUGCAGAAAUCCCUAAACUCCUCUGGGAUUAUCCUAAUAUAUACAUCACAAACCGGAUUUUUACUGGAAUCGAAUCCUUCACAAAAAUAUUGACCACUUUCUGAAAAUGGUAAAUGUUUUUCGAACUUUCUUAGAACCCCCGCAGUGCCAUAAUCUGUGCUGAAGAACACCAGACAAAUAUAAACACCACCAAGAAUCCAUGUCGUUGGGUUUUGUCCAUUGGCCAAACCUCAAAGACCUUCAGCAAAAUGAUUAAACAGGAUAUUUGUUUCAAAUCUCUUUUAAAGAAUCUCACGAACUGCUUCCUUUCAGUAUUCCGGGAUAAUAGACGGUCCAUGGAUACCUUGGAAUCUAUUAUCCACAUGUCCACCCAGGUAGAAUAAUUUUCACCGACGAAUGGACGACGUACCGUCAUUUGCAAAAUCAACGUUUCCAAUAUUUCACGGUGAACCAUUUUCUAAAUCAUUUGUUGACGAAGGCCAAAGGUGUCCACACAAAUUAUUGUGGACGCAUGCUAAACGCAAAUAUCGACAUAUAUUUAUGGUUCCUCUUCCAAAUUCUUCCCCACAUUUUGUAGAAAUAAACAGAAAGAAGUUGAAAAUGUAUUUUUGACAAAUGAAUGAUUGACCAAAGACCCAGGAAUUAAAAAGACUCACACACAAAUAUUGGUAAAUUGCAAGAAACUUUAUUAUUUCUCUGAGGAAACGAAAAGAAUUCAGAAACAUGUCGUCAACAGUAUCAAGAAUAGACAUGUCUAGCCUCUGACCGUCUGAUUGACUGACCUCGUGAAAUUUAUUCUAAUCCUCACGUGACAUGGCAAGUAACAAUCUUUUGCUGGCAAUCAUAUAAAGUGAAUUGUUCCAAUUAUCUGUGAAGUUGAACAUAAAAAUAUAUAUUUAUAUUAGAUUAUGAUGUUGUCCAAAUACACAUAUACACAUAUACACAAAUACACAAACAUGCAAAUAUAUUUAUAUAUAUAUAUUUAUACAUAUCUACUCACACAUAUAGAUGUGUACACACACACGUUUAUAUAUUGACAUACACAUAUAUACAUACAUAGAUCUGUGUGUGUAUAUGUGUGCAGGCAUUUGUAUUCAUUUCUGACAUGGUAAGCUGUGCUAUUUAAAGUAUUUAUUGAUAUCAGUGUGUUCAUCUUGUGGGCUGGCUGUUUUAUAUUUAGUCACUAUUACCAGAAUCAGCAAAUUAGUUGACUAUAAAAUGAAGUACGAUAUCCAUACGUUAUAGAUAAACCAUUGCUAUUAUAAGUAAACGAGUUGAUACCAAAUUACUAAUAAUAGUUGUUAAAUAUCUCUUAAAUCACGCGCAACCAGAAUAAAAGUAGGAGAAGAUUUUUAAUCACAUAUAUUGUUCAAGAUGAGCUAUGUCUGUAGCACGCAGAUAUGACGGUCAUUGUUGGAACAUUUUGGUCAAGGAAUUUUCGAGGCACGGCCGGUUUAAAAGCCUAACAAGAACAUCAACAAUAACCAUGGCUAAAUAUAUGGCGUUCUCGUUUUAGCACUUACAUUUGUCUGCGCAAACACCAGGCAGUCUUAGUGUAAUUCGUGUUUAAAGACUCAAAUCUUGAUACCUUGAAGAUGAGUAGCUCACGGUGAACUGCUUUAAAAUGAUGAGGUCAUCCUAAAACUGACUAAAAUCUAUAUACAUCAAAAGAUACAUGGUGUUGCGGAAAAGAAGUGACCUUUCGACUAGAAGACUCUGAAAAUGAGAGCAAGACAAUCUGUUUGAUAUAAAGCCACCCAAAUUACACACUUAAAUGUAAUCCCUUACCUCUGUCCAGUAUAGCUGCAAACCUCCUUUUUAAGAAGCCAAUAUAUAACUUGGGAAAAUUUUAUUUAUAUUUGCCGGAAACAAAAAUUCAAACAAUUUCUGAAGUAAAUAUUCUACGAUAAUAAAAAUAUAUAAAAUUAUUUCUUUGGCAAAUAUUAAAAAAAAAAGAAGUUUACUAAGUCAUAUAAUUAUGUUGAAUGUAAACAAUCAAGAGAAGAGAUGGCACCCGUCAAAAGGUUUAUUUUAGAAACUUCUGGAGAAAUUAAUUUUAAAAAACUGAAAAAGAAAUCUAUAACUACUCAAAUUUCAAGAGGAGAUAUCUAUGUUGGUGAGUGGAUAUGCAAAUAAAAAC